UACGAAGGGGGCUAGCGUUGUUCGGAAUUACUGGGCGUAAAGGGCGCGUAGGCGGUACUUCAAGUCAGGCGUGAAAGCCCCGGGCUCAACCUGGGAACCGCGCUUGAGACUGGAGAACUAGAGUUCGGGAGAGGAUGGUGGAAUUCCCAGUGUAGAGGUGAAAUUCGUAGAUAUUGGGAAGAACACCGAUGGCGAAGGCAGCCAUCUGGACCGACACUGACGCUAAGGCGCGAAAGCGUGGGGAGCAAACAGG
rnacentral:rRNA from 1 species